rnacentral:lncRNA from 1 species
CAUCUCAAGAGUGCCAGGGAGCACAUGGGCAAGCAGCAGGGAGCGAUGACGACUGUGAUGGACCACACACUGCCACUGUCUCAGACACGGAGCCCGUCACCAACUUGCUCCUCCUCCAAGAUCAGUUCCUCCAGUGACCGUCUCUACCAAGAGAAUGAAGAGCGCUGGACCAGAUACCACAGGACAUUCCUGAUGCCUGAGACACAGUCCCUUUCUUCAAAAUACUAUCUAAGUGUAGGAAAGAGGAACAUGCAGAGAACACAUGGAGAAAAGCCACCAGAAAGUUCCAGGGAAGAUGUUAUGAAAGUCUGGGGAAGACAGAACUUAUUUCACUUGGUUAAGGUAAGAAAUGCCGGAAGGGGACAAGAAGUGAACAGAAAAUUCUCUGUAAGAGGGGACACCUGCAAGGUAAUUUGCCAGAUGGGUGGGGGUUGA